rnacentral:rRNA from 1 species
AUUGAACGCUGGCGGCAGGCCUAUCACAUGCAAGUCGGACGGUAGCACAGAGGAGCUUGCUCCUCGGGUGACGAGUGGCGGACGGGUGAGUAAUGUCUGGGGAUCUGCCCGAUAGAGGGGGAUAACCACUGGAAACGGUGGCUAAUACCGCAUAACGUCGCAAGACCAAAGAGGGGGACCUUCGGGCCUCCCACUAUCGGAUGAACCCAGAUGGGAUUAGCUAGUAGGCGGGGUAACGGCCCACCUAGGCGACGAUCCCUAGCUGGUCUGAGAGGAUGACCAGCCACACUGGAACUGAGACACGGUCCAGACUCCUACGGGAGGCAGCAGUGGGGAAUAUUGCACAAUGGGCGCAAGCCUGAUGCAGCCAUGCCGCGUGUAUGAAGAAGGCCUUCGGGUUGUAAAGUACUUUCAGCGGGGAGGAAGGCGAUGUGGUUAAUAACCGCAUUGAUUGACGUUACCCGCAGAAGAAGCACCGGCUAACUCCGUGCCAGCAGCCGCAGUAA